ACAAAACGCUGGCGGCGUGCCUAACACAUGCAAGUCGAACGAAACUCAGCUGAUGGUAACUGAAGCUGAGUUUAGUGGCGGACGGGUGAGUAACGCGUGAGUAACCUGCCUUUCAGUGGGGGACAACAGAGGGAAACUUCUGCUAAUACCGCAUGAUACAGCGAGAUCGCAUGGUCUUGCUGUCAAAGAUUUAUCGCUGAAAGAUGGACUCGCGUAUGAUUAGAUAGUUGGUGAGGUAACGGCCCACCAAGUCGACGAUCAUUAGCCGGACUGAGAGGUUGAACGGCCACAUUGGGACUGAGACACGGCCCAGACUCCUACGGGAGGCAGCAGUGAGGAAUAGUUGGGCAAUGGGCGCAAGCCUGACCCAGCAACGCCGCGUGAAGGAAGACGGUCUUCGGAUUGUAAACUUCUUUUGUCAGGGACGAAUAAUGACGGUACCUGGCGAAUAAGCCACGGCUAACUACGUGCCAGCAGCCGCGGUAAAA
rnacentral:rRNA from 1 species